GAUGAACGCUGGCGGCGUGCCUAAUACAUGCAAGUCGAGCGAACAGACGAGGAGCUUGCUCCUCUGAUGUUAGCGGCGGACGGGUGAGUAACACGUGGAUAACCUACCUAUAAGACUGGGAUAACUUCGGGAAACCGGAGCUAAUACCGGAUAACAUGUUGAACCGCAUGGUUCAACAGUGAAAGACGGUCUUGCUGUCACUUAUAGAUGGAUCCGCGCCGCAUUAGCUAGUUGGUAAGGUAACGGCUUACCAAGGCAACGAUGCGUAGCCGACCUGAGAGGGUGAUCGGCCAGACUGGAACUGAGACACGGUCCAGGCUCCUACGGGAGGGAGCAGUAGGGAAUCUUCCGCAAUGGGCGAAAGCCUGAAGAAGCAACGCCGCUUGAGUGAAAAAGGUCUUCGAAUCAUAAAACUCUGUUAGUAGGGAAGAACAAAUGUGUAAGUAACUAUGCACGUCUUGACGGUACCUAAUCAGAAAGCCACGGCUAACUACGUG
rnacentral:rRNA from 1 species